rnacentral:lncRNA from 1 species
UCGAUCGCACCGAGGGCGAGAGAAAGGAUCGCAACAAAGGCGAAAGCGAACAAGGAUUAGUUGUUAGUCGUUAGUCAAACUCGGCAAGACAUCGCAUCUUGUGCCUACGUAUCUCAUCUGAACAUGAGAAUCAGAGUUGCCGUAGUUGGCCACAUAGGGAUUGCCAUCUGAACAUGGCACCUACACACAAAAAGGUGGCAAACAUGGAGCCCGACUGCCAAUCACUGGACUUACAUCAGCAUCCGAACCAAAAC